rnacentral:rRNA from 1 species
AUUGAACGCUGGCGGCAGGCCUAACACAUGCAAGUCGAACGAGUGGCGGACGGGUGAGUAAUGUCUGGGAAACUGCCUGAUGGAGGGGGAUAACUACUGGAAACGGUAGCUAAUACCGCAUACCAUCGGAUGUGCCCAGAUGGGAUUAGCUAGUAGGUGGGGUAACGGCUCACCUAGGCGACGAUCCCUAGCUGGUCUGAGAGGAUGACCAGGCAACCGGGAAAUGAGACCAGGUUCAGAAUCCUACGGGAGGCAUCAGUGGGGAAAGUUGGCCAAUGGGCGCAAGCCUGAUGGAGGCAUGCCGGGUGGAAGAAGGAGGCCUUCGGGUUGGAAAGUACUUUCAGCGGGGAGGCGUUACCCGCAGAAGAAGCACCGGCUAACUCCGUGCCAACAGCCGCGGUAAUUC